GCGUAACUGAUGAGUCCCAAAUAGGACGAAACAAGUGUCCUGGAU
rnacentral:hammerhead_ribozyme from 1 species